rnacentral:rRNA from 1 species
GACGAACGCUGGCGGCGUGCUUAACACAUGCAAGUCGAGCGGUAAGGCCCUCGGGUACGACGAGCGGCGAACGGGUGGAGUAACACGUGGGUGGACCUGCCUCUAGCUCUGGGAUAAGCCUGGGAAACGUGGGUCGUAAUACCGGAUAUGACUCCACGGCGCAUGUUGUGGGGUGGAAAGCCUUGUGUGGCUAGAGAGUGGGCCCGGCCGG